GUGGGUCUGAGUGAGGGCUGGAGCACUCUGUAGGGAACGAAAGGGGGCAUCUGGUUGUGAAUGGAGGGAUGGGGUAUGUAUGUCUAGAGAGGAGGUGGUUGAUAAUGACAUUUAUAACGCGCCUAUACACAAGUGUUUCAAGGUGCGACGAGGCAAGGAAGGGGAAGCAGAGGGAAGACAGACACCGAUCUUACUAGGCCAAGUGUCAUUCAGAUCGCGCAAUUGCAUAGGAGUGGGAAGUGGAAAAGUGCGGGGGGGAGGGGAUAGUGCAGUGCAUAAUAGAAUAAAUAACAGCGAGUGAGUAUGGCUAGCAGGUGACAAGUGCAGGGGUAAGUGCAGAUAAAAGGUGUCAGGUGCUGGUGGUGGGACUGUAGGGAUACAGAAACAGUCCCCAAGUGCAGGGGUUGCCGGGAAGGCAGUGCAGGUGUGCGACUGGCAGGUGAGGGGACCUGGGCCUGAGAUCAGAAGGUGGCCAGGUAACCAGCUCAGUUUCGGUCAGAAAGUCAGCAGGGGAGAGGAGGAGAAAAAGCAGAAGCAAAGAGAAAGGUUUUGAGGUGCUUCUGGAACCUGAGAUGAUUCUCCUCAAGUUUCAGGGCGGAAGAGAGGCUGUUCCAGAGGGAAGCCCCCGCCAAAGAAAAAGAUCUACCGCCAACUCGUUGCUUGGAGAAGCGACUGACCCCAAGGGAGUUAGAGGCGGAUGAGCAAAGAGCCUGAGAAAGAAAAUAUUUAGGAAGAGAGAGAGUUGGAGGUAUUGAGGCCCCAGGCCCCAGAAGGCUUUGUGGACAAUGCUGAGGGUUUUGAACUUAGUUCCUCGCAGCUACUGGGAGCCAGUGGAGAGAUUUCAGUACUGGAGAGAUACCAUGCCUGGGCUUGAGGCCAAGGACAAGUCUCGCAGUCCUGUUCUAGAUGAGUUGCAAAGGUUGGAGGGUAAAAGCAGGCAGAUUUAGAAAGAGGCUGUUGCAGUAGUCCAGCCUUGAGAGAACCAGAGCUCUGGAGACAGUGAGCUUCUUGGGGAAGGAGAGGAAAGGAAGAAUACGUCUGAGGAGGUGCAGCUGGUAGUGUGACUUCUUAGAGACGUCAGAGAUGUGAGGAGAGAAGGAGAGUUUGGUUUAUGGGAGGGGUGGGAACAUGUGUAUCUCGAAGGGAUUGGGUAAUCACGUGUGGGUAUAGAGAGAGGGCGGAUGGCGCCAUCUGAGUGAGUCUGGAGAUAGAGGUGAAGCAUAUGGGUGUAGAUCAGAGAGGUGGAGCUUCUUAGUGUAGGUAGGGAGGGACGGAUGUUGGUAUCUUAUGUGGGUUCGGAGGGAGGGAUGGUGGCAUGUGGGUUGUGAGGAAGAUGGCAUUUGAAUCUCGAACAUGUGUUUGGAAGGAGAAAUGGGGAAUUUGAGUGUGAAUUGGGACAUGUAGGGCUUGGGUAUCUGCUUGUGAGUGGGGCAUGAAGCAUCAUUAACAGUGGAGCAGCCAGAUGGGAGAGCCGCGGCCCAGACCUUUGGUGGGCGGCGCCGAAUCUAGAUGUGAGCCAGGACCAGUCUGUGGAUCGCCCCAGCUACGGUGGAAGCCUCUCUCUGUUCCCCUCCUGGGGUUCGGGGCUGAUGUUCUGCCUUUGUCAACGCCUAGCAGCUGACUUAGAACUGAUGCAGACCAGGGGAAUCCGACGAACAUCGCGAAGGCCUGCGGUGGGUGUUGACGCAAUGUGAUUUUUUUUUUUUUACCCAGUGCUCUGAAUGUCAAAGUGAAGAAAUUCAAUGAAGCAUGGGUAAACGGCGGGAGUAACUAUAGGUAGCCAAAUGCCUCGUCAUCUAAUUAGUGACGCGCAUGAAUGGAUGAACGAGAUUCCAACUGUCCCUCCCUACCUAGCGAAACCACAUCCAUGGGAACAGGCUUGGCAGAAUCAGCGCAGAAAGAAUACCGGUUGAGCUUGCCUCUAGUCUGGCACUGUGAAGAGACAUGAGAGGUGUAAGAUAAGUGGGAGGCCCUAGGGCUGCCAGUGAAAUACCACUACUCUUAUUGUUUUUUCACUUACCCAGUGAGGUGGGGGGUGAGCCCCGUGGGGCUCUCACUUCUGGCGCCCGCCAUGCGCGACCCGCUCCGGGGACAAUGGCAGCUGGGGAGUUUGACUUGGGCGGUACACCUGUCAAAUGAGAACGCAGGUGUCCUAAGGCGAGCUGAAGCCUCCCGUGGAACAGAAGGGCAAAAGCUUGCUUGAUCUCAAAAAAAUGUCAGUAUGAAUAUAGAUCUUAAAAGCGGUGCCUUACGAUCCUUCUGACUUUUUGGGUUUCAAGUAGGGGGUGUCAGAAAAGUUAACACAGGGAUAACUGGCUUUUGGCGGUCAAGCAUUCAUAGCAAUGUCGCUUUUUUAUCCUUCGAUGUCGGCUCGUCCUAUCAUUGUGAAGCAGAAUUCUAUCGUUGGAUUGGUCACCCACUAAUGGGGAACGUGAGGUGGGUUUAGACCGUCGUGAGACAGGUUAGUUUUACCCUACUGAUGAUGUGUUUUUGCAAUCGUAAUCCUGCUCGGUACAAGAGGAACCGCAGGUUCAGAAGACAUUUGGUGUAUGUGCUUGACUGAAGAGCCAAUGGGGCGAAGCUACCAUCUGUGGGAUUAUGACUGACCGCUUUGUAAGUUAGAAUCCCCUCUAAACAGUAAUGAUACCGCAGCACUGUCAAGCCUCGGUUCGCCUAGGAUAGCCGGCCUGUGGGCCGGUGUGUAGAUUCGCUCACCUUGGGACUCGAGUGUGGACAGAAGGGGGGCCACCUCUCUCGCCCAUAGUGCACCACAUGUUU
rnacentral:rRNA from 1 species